CUCGAUCUCCGUGAUCCGCCCGCCUUAGCCUCCCAAAGUGUUGGAAUUACAGGCAUGAGCCACCGUGCCCGGCCAACGGCUUGCGUUUCAAGAAAGCCCAUGUAACACAUCCUGAACUGAAAGCCACCUUUUGCCUACCAAUACUUGGUGUAAAGAAGAAUCCCUCAUCCCCACUGUAUACAACUUUGGGUGUUAUUACCAAAGGUACUGUCAUUGAAGUAAAUGUGAGCGAAUUGGGCCUUGUGACACAAGGAGGCAAAGUUAUUUGGGGAAAAUAUGCCCAGGUUACCAACAAUCCUGAAAAUGAUGGAUGUAUAAAUGCAGUCUUACUGGUUUGACAGCAAUUUCAUAUAUAAUUAUUGAGGACUACACACCAAUUGAAGAAACUGCCAUUACUGUGAUGUUUCUGAAUACUACCAAACAGCCAUACAUGUCUGCAAUGAAGAGAUUUAUUAAAUUGUAAACAUUAAA
rnacentral:lncRNA from 1 species